UACGGAGGGUGCAAGCGUUAUCCGGAUUUACUGGGUUUAAAGGGUGCGUAGGUGGGUUGGGAAGUCAGUGGUGAAAUACUUUCGCUUAACGAAGGAACUGCCAUUGAUACUAUCAAUCUUGAAUGUAGUGGAGGUAGGCGGAAUGCGUCAUGUAGCGGUGAAAUGCAUAGAUAUGACCCGGAACACCUAUUGCGAAGGCAGCAGGCUAAACAAAGAUUGACGCUGAGGCUCGAAAGCGUGGGGAGCAAACAGG
rnacentral:rRNA from 1 species